rnacentral:rRNA from 1 species
GACCAACGCUGGCGGUCUGCCCAACACAUGCAAGUUUAACGGGCGCAGCAAUGCGUUAGAGGCGGACGGGUGAGUAACACGUGAGAAUCUGCCAACGGGACGGGGAUAACAGGGGGAAACCGCUGCUAAGACCCGAUAAACCGAAAGGGGAAAAAGAAAUUGCCAGUUGAUGAGCUCGCGUCGGAUUAGCUAGUUGGUAGUGUAAGGGACUACCAAGGCGACGAUCCGUAGCCGGUCUGAGAGGACGAUCGGCCACACUGGGACUGAGACACGGCCCAGACUAUUACACGAGGCAGCAGUGGGGAAUUUUCCGCAAUGGGCGAAAGCCUGACGGAGCAAGACCGCGUGAGGGUGGAAGGCUCUUGGGUUGUAAACCUCUUUUCUCAAGGAAGAAGCAAUGACGGUACUUGAGGAAUCAGCAUCGGCUAACUCCGUGCCAGCAGCCGCGGUAAUACGGAGGAUGCCGGCGU